ensembl:snoRNA
GCAAUGAUGAUCUUUUAUGCUUUUGAUCAGCAAUGAAAUAAAACAGCAAUUCCUCUAAGAAGUUCUGAGCUC